GUAUAACAAUCGAAACCGCAUGGUUUUGAUUUGAAAGGCGCUUUCGGGUGUCGCUGAUGGAUGGACCCGCGGUGCAUUAGCUAGUUGGUGAGGUAACGGCUCACCAAGGCCACGAUGCAUAGCCGACCUGAGAGGGUGAUCGGCCACAUUGGGACUGAGACACGGCCCAAACUCCUACGGGAGGCAGCAGUAGGGAAUCUUCGGCAAUGGACGAAAGUCUGACCGAGCAACGCCGCGUGAGUGAAGAAGGUUUUCGGAUCGUAAAACUCUGUUGUUAGAGAAGAACAAGGAUGAGAGUAACUGUUCAUCCCUUGACGGUAUCUAACCAGAAAGCCACGGCUAACUACGUGCCAGCAGCCGCGGUAAUACGUAGGUGGCAAGCGUUGUCCGGAUUUAUUGGGCGUAAAGCGAGCGCAGGCGGUUUCUUAAGUCUGAUGUGAAAGCCCCCGGCUCAACCGGGGAGGGUCAUUGGAAACUGGGAGACUUGAGUGCAGAAGAGGAGAGUGGAAUUCCAUGUGUAGCGGUGAAAUGCGUAGAUAUAUGGAGGAACACCAGUGGCGAAGGCGGCUCUCUGGUCUGUAACUGACGCUGAGGCUCGAAAGCGUGGGGAGCAAACAGGAUUAGAUACCCUGGUAGUCCACGCCGUAAACGAUGAGUGCUAAGUGUUGGAGGGUUUCCGCCCUUCAGUGCUGCAGCUAACGCAUUAAGCACUCCGCCUGGGGAGUACGACCGCAAGGUUGAAACUCAAAGGAAUUGACGGGGGCCCGCACAAGCGGUGGAGCAUGUGGUUUAAUUCGAAGCAACGCGAAGAACCUUACCAGGUCUUGACAUCCUUUGACCACUCUAGAGAUAGAGCUUCCCCUUCGGGGGCAAAGUGACAGGUGGUGCAUGGUUGUCGUCAGCUCGUGUCGUGAGAUGUUGGGUUAAGUCCCGCAACGAGCGCAACCCUUAUUGUUAGUUGCCAUCAUUCAGUUGGGCACUCUAGCAAGACUGCCGGUGACAAACCGGAGGAAGGUGGGGAUGACGUCAAAUCAUCAUGCCCCUUAUGACCUGGGCUACACACGUGCUACAAUGGGAAGUACAACGAGUUGCGAA
rnacentral:rRNA from 1 species